UCCUGGCUCAGAUUGAACGCUGGCGGCAUGCCUAACACAUGCAAGUCGAACGGCAGCACAGAGGAGCUUGCUCCUUGGGUGGCGAGUGGCGGACGGGUGAGUAAGGCAUCGGGAUCUACCCUGACGUGGGGGAUAACCUCGGGAAACCGGGACUAAUACCGCAUACGUCCUACGGGAGAAAGCGGGGGACCUUCGGGCCUCGCGCGGCAGGACGAACCGAUGUGCGAUUAGCUAGUUGGCGGGGUAAUGGCCCACCAAGGCGACGAUCGCUAGCUGGUCUGAGAGGAUGAUCAGCCACACUGGGACUGAGACACGGCCCAGACUCNUACGGGAGGCAGCAGUGGGGAAUAUUGGACAAUGGGCGCAAGCCUGAUCCAGCAAUGCCGCGUGUGUGAAGAAGGCCUUCGGGUUGUAAAGCACUUUUAUCAGGAGCGAAAUCGGCGUGGUCAAUACCCGCGUCGUCKGACGGUACCUGAGGAAUAAGCACCGGCUAACUUCGUGCCAGCAGCCGCGGUAAUACGAAGGGUGCAAGCGUUAAUCGGAAUUACUGGGCGUAAAGGGUGCGUAGGCGGUUAGUUAAGUCUGUUGUGAAAUCCCCGGGCUCAACCUGGGAAUGGCAAUGGAUACUGGCUAGCUAGAGUGUGUCAGAGGAUGGUGGAAUUCCCGGUGUAGCGGUGAAAUGCGUAGAGAUCGGGAGGAACAUCAGUGGCGAAGGCGGCCAUCUGGGACAACACUGACGCUGAAGCACGAAAGCGUGGGGAGCAAACAGGAUUAGAUACCCUGGUAGUCCACGCCCUAAACGAUGCGAACUGGAUGUUGGUCUCAACUCGGAGAUCAGUGUCGAAGCUAACGCGUUAAGUUCGCCGCCUGGGGAGUACGGUCGCAAGACUGAAACUCAAAGGAAUUGACGGGGGCCCGCACAAGCGGUGGAGUAUGUGGUUUAAUUCGAUGCAACGCGAAGAACCUUACCUGGCCUUGACAUGUCCAGAAUCCUGCAGAGAUG
rnacentral:rRNA from 1 species